GAUCCUAUAGGAGCAGCACCUUCUUCAAAUUAGAAAGAGAAGUUUCCUCAUCCCCAAAAAAGGUUUUUCUGAAUUUUCUUUUUAGAAUUGACAUAAGUUUUUAAAACUUAAAUUUAUGAACCAAAAAUAUAUUUUUCUGAACAGAAUUAUUUUUAAAUAAUUUGACUUUUUUCCAGUGAGGUAAAAAUCUUUGAUAAAACUGUGAUCUUUCCACCAGUCUUAGGCUGCUGAACUUGGUGCAACAGCAUAGACUAGUGGUGGGAAGGAAGAUUGUAACAGGGAGGUGUGGAUACCACUUUCUCUAGAAUCUAUCCUGAAUUUUAAGCUACACACAGCAGUAGCAGCAGACUAUUAAACUAAACUUGCUUAAGAGACAGCCGCAUCUUCUUGUGCAGUGCCAGCCUCGUCCUGUAGACAAAAUGGUGAAGGUCGGUGUGAACGGAUUUGGCCGUAUUGGGCGCCUGGUCACCAGGGCUGCCAUUUGCAGUGGCAAAGUGGAGAUUGUUGCCAUCAACGACCCCUUCAUUGACCUCAACUACAUGGUCUACAUGUUCCAGUAUGACUCCACUCACGGCAAAUUCAACGGCACAGUCAAGGCCGAGAAUGGGAAGCUUGUCAUCAACGGGAAGCCCAUCACCAUCUUCCAGGAGCGAGACCCCACUAACAUCAAAUGGGGUGAGGCCGGUGCUGAGUAUGUCGUGGAGUCUACUGGUGUCUUCACCACCAUGGAGAAGGCCGGGGCCCACUUGAAGGGUGGAGCCAAAAGGGUCAUCAUCUCCACCCCUUCUGCCGAUGCCCCCAUGUUUGUGAUGGGUGUGAACCACGAGAAAUAUGACAACUCACUCAAGAUUGUCAGCAAUGCAUCCUGCACCACCAACUGCUUAGCCCCCCUGGCCAAGGUCAUCCAUGACAACUUUGGCAUUGUGGAAGGGCUCAUGACCACAGUCCAUGCCAUCACUGCCACCCAGAAGACUGUGGAUGGCCCCUCUGGAAAGCUGUGGCGUGAUGGCCGUGGGGCUGCCCAGAACAUCAUCCCUGCAUCCACUGGUGCUGCCAAGGCUGUGGGCAAGGUCAUCCCAGAGCUGAACGGGAAGCUCACUGGCAUGGCCUUCCGUGUUCCUACCCCCAAUGUGUCCGUCGUGGAUCUGACGUGCCGCCUGGAGAAACCUGCCAAGUAUGAUGACAUCAAGAAGGUGGUGAAGCAGGCAUCUGAGGGCCCACUGAAGGGCAUCUUGGGCUACACUGAGGACCAGGUUGUCUCCUGCGACUUCAACAGCAACUCCCACUCUUCCACCUUCGAUGCCGGGGCUGGCAUUGCUCUCAAUGACAACUUUGUCAAGCUCAUUUCCUGGUAUGACAAUGAAUACGGCUACAGCAACAGGGUGGUGGACCUCAUGGCCUACAUGGCCUCCAAGGAGUAAGAAACCCUGGACCACCCACCCCAGCAAGGACACUGAGCAAGAGAGAGGCCCUAUCCCAACUCGGCCCCCAACACUGAACAUCUCCCUCACAAUUUCCAUCCCAGACCCCCAUAAUAACAGGAGGGGCCUAGGGAGCCCUCCCUACUCUCUUGAAUACCAUCAAUAAAGUUCGCUGCACCCACAAAAUAAAUAAAUAAAUAAAUAAAUAAAUAAAUAAAUAAAUAAA